UACGUAGGGGGCAAGCGUUGUCCGGAUUUAUUGGGCGUAAAGAGCGUGUAGGCGGCCAGAUAGGUCCGUUGUGAAAACUCAAGGCUCAACCUCGAGACGCCGAUGGAAACCAUUUGGCUAGAGUCCGGAAGAGGAGAGUGGAAUUCCUGGUGUAGCGGUGAAAUGCGCAGAUAUCAGGAAGAACACCCGUGGCUAAGGCGGCUCUCUAGUACGGUACUGACGCUGAGACGCGAAAGCGUGGGGAGCGAACAGG
rnacentral:rRNA from 1 species